UACGUAGGGUGCGAGCGUUGUCCGGAAUUACUGGGCGUAAAGAGCUCGUAGGUGGUUUGUCGCGUUGUUCGUGAAAACUCACAACUCAAUUGUGGGCGUGCGGGCGAUACGGGCAGACUGGAGUACUGCAGGGGAGACUGGAAUUCCUGGUGUAGCGGUGAAAUGCGCAGAUAUCAGGAGGAACACCGGUGGCGAAGGCGGUUCUCUGGGCAUGAUCUGACGCUGAGGAGCGAAAGUGUGGGGAGCGAACAGG
rnacentral:rRNA from 1 species